CAGUCGCCGCGGGAAUACGUAGGUGGCGAGCGUUGUCCGGAAUUAUUGGGCGUAAAGGGAGCGCAGGCGGACAUAUAAGUCCAUCUUAAAAGUGCGGGGCUCAACCCCGUGAGGGGAUGGAAACUGUAUGCCUUGAGUGCAGGAGAGGAAAGCGGAAUUCCCAGUGUAGCGGUGAAAUGCGUAGAUAUUGGGAGGAACACCAGUGGCGAAGGCGGCUUUCUGGACUGCAACUGACGCUGAGGCUCGAAAGCCAGGGGAGCGAACGGGAUUAGAUACCCCCGUAGUCCCUGUCUCUUAUACA
rnacentral:rRNA from 1 species